AACUAUUGUUGGACACAGUGGGAUGAAAACUGGAUUGAGAUAGAAGUAUGGUACACCUGAACCAAAAAGAAGCUACAUUACACAGAGAGUGCUUUGGAACCUGCAAGUUUACCCCACAUGGUGAGAUUACAAAAAGCCAAAUACUAAGAGAUCAUCAUGAGAGUUAAUCCAGGUAUGACUCUAUCGCUCUGGUUUUGCGUACGUUCUACUGACAUAGCACUGCAUUAUGACACACACUGAGGCAUUUUUGUUGUUGUUUAACCUUGAGCCUUUCCAGCCACCCUUGUACGUUUUAUCCGUUGCGAACCCCUUUGAGCCUUUAACCAUUUUGUUUGUUUGUAAACCGCUUAUGUUACCCUAUGGCCAGAAAAAAAAAAAAAAAAAAGAUAAUAAUCUCUUCUACCCUUGCUCGGCAUAAAUGUUGUGGAUUUUGGAAACUGUGUGAAUUCUAAGUUUGGGGUGGUAAAUCUAAUACCAAAGGGACAAGUGUGCGAAAAAUUGUUACAAGAAAAGAGAAAAGAAAAAUUGGAGGCUCUUUGAAUGCUCCGGAAAAAAAAAAAAAAAGAGAAAAGAAAAAUAGAACUCAUCAAAACGCACUUGUCCCAAUUAAACGACUUGAUUACAUUUGAAAUACUCAAUCAGUUGAGUAAAGUUAAAUAGUCGAUGUCGAACCCCUGUAUAUCAAAAUAAGCACAGGUACAAGAAACAUAACAGGAGUGCCGAGCCCAAAAACCCCUUGUGUAUCCGUUUGUUGUUUAUCCCACCUGUCC
rnacentral:lncRNA from 1 species